UGUGGAAGUAUUUUACACCAUAACAAUAACUUAUUAAGUCUAAGUUUUUUUUUUUUAUUAUUGAUGCAUAUUUUAAUGGAAAUAAAGUUAGUUUAACUUCAAUGCAUAUUGGCAUCAGGUUGUUUUUACAGCAGUGCUAAUGCAUGCUGUUGAGGCCUGUGUUACCUUCACAAGGCUGCACUAGUAGUAGAGCUAACAGCUACCAGCUCUCAGCUCCAGCAGCUUCAGAGCAGGCAGGAGAGGAUCAGUCUUGUAUUUUGGAGGAAUGUGCUUCGUGUCGUGUAACCAGCUGUUUUGUGGACUAGAGAAGGUGAGGAUGUUUGAUUCGUGUUCAUUUUAAGCCAUACAAGCCGCAGUUUCUUUUCAUGCAUGUGGAAGCUCCGUGUCGGGAGCGGCCACGCCCCCUCGUUGAGCCGUGCGUGCGUGCCUUCAAACAGGUGAUAUUUAUGAGCACAGGUGGUGGGGAUGAGGACAGAAGCUUUGAGCAGUUAGAGAGUGGUCCGGUCAGUGUUUGGGAGCUGAAAACAGCUAAAAACAACUUAGGUAAUGUGGAGUUGUUUGUUUAAACAAGCUAGUGGCUAUACUGUUCUUGUUAACUUGUAUUGUUAGGUCUGCUUGUUAAAUCGUAUGUGCUUAGCUGCAGCAGCUUCAGAGCAGGCAGGAGAGGAUCAGUCUUGUAUUUUGGAGGAAUGUGCUUCGUGUCGUGUAACCAGCUGUUUUGUGGACUAGAGAAGGUGAGGAUGUUUGAUUCGUGUUCAUUUCAAGCCAUACAAGCCGCAGUUUCUUUUCAUGCAACCUCGUUGAGCCGUCCGUGCGUGCCUUCAAACAGGUGAUAGUAAUGAGCACAGGUGGUGGGGAUGAGGACAGAAGCUUUGAGCAGUUAGAGAGUGGUCCGGUCAGUGUUUGGGAGCUGAAAACAGCUCAAAACAACUAAGGUAAUGGGGAGUCGUUUGUUUAAACAAGCUAGUGGCUACACUGUUCUUGUUAACUUGUAUUGUUAGGUCUGCUUGUUAAAUCUUAUGUGCUUAAAACUGUAAGCUAUCAGUGUUUCCACAGAGGUUUUUGGCUUUUAUCGUUAUUAUGAUAGUGUAAAGUACAAUAGUGAGGAGCAACAAAGCUGUGGUACAGUAUCUGGUGCAGUGUGUGCCAUUUAAAAAUGCUGUUUAAUGUUCAUGUCGAUUAUUGACUAUUCCAUAACUGAACGCAAGGAUGAAAUGUCAGCAGGUUUUAUUUCCAUUUCAUUUUCCCCCCUGAGAUAGACUCACAGCACUCAUGUUGUCUUAUAUAGUAUUUUUAAGUGAACAUCUUGCAUCUGGUAGAUAACAGGUUGAGCUGUUUAUUGUUUUGGGUUGUUAUUUGAAUUAAAACAAAAUUAUGACAAACUAAUCACAUGUCAGAAGCACUGAUGUGAAAACAUCACAAACCAUGGUCCGUGUAAAUGUCAUAAAGGACCUUGGAUCGGAAAUGUGAACCCAGCAGUGUGCUAUCGCACAAUAGUCAAGUCAUCCGGAUGCUGCUGUAAAUAUAAUUGAAUGUUAAUGUAAAAUUAUAUAUGUAGGUUAAGUUCUUGUUUGAAGAAGCAGGACAAGGACAGUGAGUGAGGAGGAGAUACAGAGACUGAGGAUGAUCAUUCAAGCAGAUGAAAGACUGCAUUUAUUUGUGUGUCUGUUCCUACUGGAUGCUAAUGAUGGGACAUCAAUCCCACAAGAGGUUCAAUGCAGCUGAUCUAGUUAUAGAAUCUCUGUACACUGAGAUUAUGUUACAUUAAAUUGUAGAGAGUUCAGUCUGUGGUCCAACACAGCUCUACACUAGAAGAGACAUCAUCCUCCUGUUAAUAUUUAGUUCAUGUGCAGCCUAUUUCUGUUGUAGAAAUGGGUUUCUACCUUUUAUUGGGCAUAUGUAAAGAAAUUAAUUUCGGUAAAGCAUUAAGUCCUUUGUAUUAAAUUUAAACUUGAAUGUUGAUUUAUGAGCUCAGAAUAUGGCUUCUGCUCAGAUGCCACAUGUAAAUUACUAGACUUCUAGUACAUAAUAAUCCUAACAACAAUCUUCUUUUAAUGAUGUUACUCUGGCUUUUGACACUGGCCAGUGAAUCAUGCAGAGGCGAAGGCGCAUAAAUCCAACGGAUGAUGCAAACAUUUUUGCUCACACUGGAAGGGAUAAACUUGGACUGGACAUCAAUUACAUUAAUGCUUUCAAAGGUGGUGGUAUCUUCACCUCUGCUCUGUUUGAAAAAGGCGACUUUCUCUGCGAAUAUCGAGGUGACCUAAUAUCAAACGAAGAAUGUGAAAGGAGACAGAGAAUAUACCAUGACACCCUUAAGGUGUUCAUGUUCGAGUUCCGUUUUAGUGGUAAACUGUGGUGUGUUGAUGCAGCAAAAGAGGAUGGAUCUUUCGGAAGACUAGUAAAUGAUGACCAUAUCAGCCCUAAUGCGAAAAUGAAGUACCUGACUGUGCAAGGGAAACCCCAUUUGUGUUUUUUUGCCAUACGGGACAUAGUUCCAGGAGAGGAGAUAACCUAUAAUUAUGGUUACUCAGACUUGCUGUGGAGAAGCAAGGUAAUUUUUUACUUUGUGAUGUUGAUCCCCUGAAACAAAUGGUUUAGAAAACUUCAGUCCACAAACACUUUAUAUUUUCCGUAUAGUUUUGGUUUGAACAUGCUUUUUUCCUCAUUAAAUAAAAUUAUUCACAGUUAGUUGAAUUCCGUUCUAAGAGCAAGAGAAAUUAGCUCUAUUCGGCCCAGCGCUAAGCUCCGUUGUAACCACGAGACCCACCGGAGCCCCGCUUAAGAGGCCAGGACUUCACUCAUUGUUUUCCAGGAAUCCGCCCGUUCGUGCUCGCAUCCUGAGGUUCAACAACAAGAGAUUCACUGGACUUCCGGAAAAAUCUGUGCGACGCGCAUGCAACACCGCGAAGGUCACAGUAAGAGGCUUUAUUGUCUGGGCAGAGACUAGUAUUUAUAUUUAGCGUGUCAUUUAUUUGAUUGUAUGUUUGAAGAUUGCGGAUCUAUUUUUCAGUCCGUGUUUGAACGCAGCGAAACGAUACGUCACUUCCGGUUCCUUUGUACCGUGUUGAAAUGUUUUAAAGUGCUUCGCGCCGUUAUGGAGAGUCCGGCAGCACUGUUAUCGUCCAACUGGGUUUGCAGAGACUUUGCCGAUAAAAAGUUCGGUACACAACUCCCAUUUUGAGUACCGAGUGGUAAAGUUUCUGUAACCUUGUCUCUGACGAUGUUUUGAGAGCUUUCCUGAUCUCUCUCUAUCUCUCCCUCUCUCUCUCUCUUUUCUCCCAAACCUGUUUUUACACACGUCCCGACCUACACUUACAUAUUUCAUGUUACAUAGCUAAAUCUUGACUAAAAGAGCCUAAAUUCAUCUCGACGCCGUUCGGCGCCAGAACCAGGAGAUAAGAAAUCUCUUUGUCUAGAAAUAUUCCUUUGUGUAACUGGCGACCGACCGCCAUCUUGUCUUCGACCUCAUGUCGUCACAGAGGUCAUAAACCUCCAUCUUGAGAUUACUUGAACGUAACAUCUUGAUUUCGACCAGACGACGUCACCACGUGAUCUCGUCAUUACGCCAUAGCCACUCCCCUUUCUCUUUCUUACACACACACACACACACACACACACACACACACACACACAGAGACACAGACACACAGACAGG